rnacentral:misc_RNA from 1 species
GCAAACUUGGUCAUUUAGAGGAAGUAAAAGUCGUAACAAGGUCCCCGUAGGUGAACCUUCGGGGGGAUCAUUACCGAGCGUCGCGGACCGUUUUUUGGACCGCGUCCUCCCCAUCCCUUGCUCGAAACCUCAACCUUGCUUCGGCCGCUCCGACGGCCGGAAUUUCAACCCUAAAAACGGUGCAUCUGAGCGGUGAAAGCCGAACUUAGUACAACCUGCAACGAUGGAUCUCUUGGUUCCGGCAUCGAUGAAGAACGCAGC